AACGAACGCUGGCGGCAGGCCUAACACAUGCAAGUCGAGCGCCCCGCAAGGGGAGCGGCGGACGGGUGAGUAACGCGUGGGAACGUACCCUUUGCUACGGAAUAGCCUCGGGAAACUGGGAGUAAUACCGUAUGUGCCCUUCGGGGGAAAGAUUUAUCGGCAAAGGAUCGGCCCGCGUUGGAUUAGGUAGUUGGUGGGGUAAUGGCCUACCAAGCCGACGAUCCAUAGCUGGUUUGAGAGGAUGAUCAGCCACACUGGGACUGAGACACGGCCCAGACUCCUACGGGAGGCAGCAGUGGGGAAUCUUAGACAAUGGGCGCAAGCCUGAUCUAGCCAUGCCGCGUGAGCGAUGAAGGCCUUAGGGUUGUAAAGCUCUUUCAGUGGGGAAGAUAAUGACUGUACCCACAGAAGAAGCCCCGGCUAACUCCGUGCCAGCAGCCGCGGUAAAGUCUGUACU
rnacentral:rRNA from 1 species